rnacentral:rRNA from 1 species
UGGGGAAUUGUUCGCAAUGGGCGCAAGCCUGACGACGCAACGCCGCGUGGAGGACGAAGACCUUCGGGUCGUAAACUCCUUUCGAUCGAGACGAAUGGCCUCUGGGUAAACAACCUGGAGGAAUGACGGUACCGAGAGAAGAAGCCCCGGCUAACUCCGUGCCAGCAGCCGCGGUAAUACGGGGGGGGCAAGCGUUGUUCGGAAUUACUGGGCGUAAAGGGCUCGUAGGUGGCCAACUAAGUCAGACGUGAAAUCCCUCGGCUUAACCGGGGAACUGCGUCUGAUACUGGAUGGCUUGAGAUUGGGAGAGGGAUGCGGAAUUCCAGGUGUAGCGGUGAAAUGCGUAGAUAUCUGGAGGAACACCGGUGGCGAAGGCGGCAUCCUGGACCAACACUGACACUGAGGAGCGAAAGCCAGGGGAGCAAACGG